rnacentral:rRNA from 1 species
CAGUAGCCGCGGUAAUACGUAGGGUGCAAGCGUUAAUCGGAAUUACUGGGCGUAAAGCGUGCGCAGGCGGUCCGCUAAGACAGAUGUGAAAUCCCCGGGCUUAACCUGGAACUGCAUUUGUGACUGGCGGGCUAGAGUAUGGCAGAGGGGGGUAGAAUUCCACGUGUAGCAGUGAAAUGCGUAGAGAUGUGGAGGAAUACCGAUGGCGAAGGCAGCCCCCUGGGCCAAUACUGACACUCAUGCACGAAAGCGUGGGGAGCAAACAGGAUUAGAGACCCGUGUAGUCCCUGUCUCUUAUACC